rnacentral:rRNA from 1 species
GACGAACGCUGGCGGCGUGCUUAACACAUGCAAGUCGAACGGAAAGGCCCUGCUUUUGUGGGGUGCUCGAGUGGCGAACGGGUGAGUAACACGUGAGUAACCUGCCCUUGACUUUGGGAUAACUUCAGGAAACUGGGGCUAAUACCGGAUAGGAGCUCCUGCUGCAUGGUGGGGGUUGGAAAGUUUCGGCGGUUGGGGAUGGACUCGCGGCUUAUCAGCUUGUUGGUGGGGUAGUGGCUUACCAAGGCUUUGACGGGUAGCCGGCCUGAGAGGGUGACCGGCCACAUUGGGGCUGAGAUACGGCCCAGACUCCUACGGGAGGCAGCAGUGGGGAAUAUUGCACAAUGGGCGGAAGCCUGAUGCAGCAACGCCGCGUGCGGGAUGACGGCCUUCGGGUUGUAAACCGCUUUCGCCUGUGACGAAGCGUGAGUGACGGUAAUGGGUAAAGAAACACCGGCUAACUACGU